AAGUCGUAACAAGGUUUCCGUAGGUGAACCUGCGGAUGGAUCAUUAUUGAUGAUUUGAUUAUUGUUUUGUGCAUGGUAUUUUUGUGUGGUUGGCGAUCAUUCUAUGGUUGCCAACAGCGAAUUGAUGUAUCACAACUGACUGAGUCACACAUCCAAAUGAAAACAACUUUCAGCAAUGGAUCUCUUGGCUCUC
rnacentral:misc_RNA from 1 species